UCGAACGAACCCUUCGGGGUUAGUGGCGCACGGGUGCGUAACGCGUGGGAACCUGCCUUUAGGUUCGGAAUAACUCAGAGAAAUUUGAGCUAAUACCGGAUAAUGUCUUCGGACCAAAGAUUUAUCGCCUUUAGAUGGGCCCGCGUUAGAUUAGAUAGUUGGUGGGGUAACGGCCUACCAAGUCGACGAUCUAUAGCUGGUCUGAGAGGAUGAUCAGCCACACUGGGACUGAGACACGGCCCAGACUCCUACGGGAGGCAGCAGUGGGGAAUAUUGGACAAUGGGGGCAACCCUGAUCCAGCAAUGCCGCGUGAGUGAUGAAGGCCUUAGGGUUGUAAAGCUCUUUUACUAGGGAUGAUAAUGACAGUACCUAGAGAAUAAGCUCCGGCUAACUCCGUGCCAGCAGCCGCGGUAAUACGGAGGGAGCUAGCGUUGUUCGGAAUUACUGGGCGUAAAGCGCGCGUAGGCGGCUUUUUAAGUCAGGGGUGAAAUCCCGGAGCUCAACUCCGGAACUGCCCUUGAAACUGGGAAGCUAGAAUAUUGGAGAGGUAAGUGGAAUUCCGAGUGUAGAGGUGAAAUUCGUAGAUAUUCGGAAGAACACCAGUGGCGAA
rnacentral:rRNA from 1 species